rnacentral:lncRNA from 1 species
AGUGAUUCUCCUGCCUCAGCCUCCUGAGUAGCUGGGAUUACAGGCGCCAGCCACCAUGCCCGGCUAGUUUUUGUGUUUUUAGUAGAGACGGGAUUUCACCAUGUUGCCCAGGCUGGUCUCAAACUCCUGAUCUCAGGCUCAAGCUACCUUCUUGAUGAAAAAUUCUGGACGUGUUCUGAAAAUCACAGUCAUCCCUAACUUCAGUGGAAAAGAUUCAUAUUGUCCAGCUGAACAAGGAUUGAUACUUAAAACCAGGGAUUUCCUAAAAUGAAAAUGUUUCUGUGGAUAAAACUGAUUACAUGCAGAGACUGGAAUGGAGUUAAUUCUGGGUAGAUAUGGGAUUCAAGAGAUUGGUCUUCAUGAGGCAUUUAUCAAGGAUCUGCAAGGGAUUUAGAGGUGACGGAAGCACAGUCCUUCCUGGGCAGUUGCCUCUAGCCUGGUGGGAGGUGUUCCUCACACCCAGGACUCUCAUCCAUGGCAAAAUAAAAAGUGAGAUAUCGACUGGGCAUGGUGGCUCAUGCCUGUAAUCCCAGCACUUUGGGAGGUCGAGGCGGGUGGAUCACCUAGGCCAGGAGUUCGAGACCAGCCUGGCCAACAUGACGAAACCCCAUUUCUACUAAAAAUACAAAAAUUAGCCAUGUGUGGUGGAAUGCACCUGAAGUCUCAGCUACUCGGGAGGCUGAGGCACAAUAAUUGCUUGGACCCAGGAGAAGGAGGCUGCAGUGAGCCGAGGUCGUGUCACUGUACUCCAGCCUGGGUGACAGAGUGAGACUCCAUCUCAAAAAAAAAAAAAGUGGAUAUCACAUCAGAGAAGCUCCUGGCCAGGUGGCCUUGAGGAACAGGGAUGAGUUCGGCACUUAGAGAUGGAGUUGGCUUUCCCCGUUGGAGGGAAAGGCAUGAGAAGGGACAUAGGUAAGAGGAAGUAGAGUAGUGCAGGGGCCAUUGAGUAGUAGUCCUUCCAAGACAGGACGUCAUCAUAGAACCACUUUCUCUGAGGAAGCUCUGCUUGGGGGAGGUUUUAAUUCAUGAGGAAGGCAAAUUCAAUGGCUCUCAGGUGAGGUGGGAAACAGACACCUACCAACACUCCAAAGAGAACAUGUACCUCUAUAAAAGGGCACAGUCUAGUGAACAAAGUCCACAGCUCUGGGUUUGAUUUCUAGCACUGUCACUUAAUACUGUGUGACCUUAGACAUUCACUUAACUCUCUCAGCCUCAGGAUACAAUCUGUAAAAACAGGAGAAUGCUUGUUCCCUGUGCCUUAUAGGAUUGAUAUGAGCAUCAGGAGAGACAGUGGGCACAAAAUAGCACUGUCAACUACUUCUUUCUAGUCAGUUAUCUGGUCAUGUUUGUGAAGCUCCCCAGGACUGGGAACAUAGCAUAUGAUUUUUUUAAAGUUACUCGAUGAAUGAAUGAAUAAAUGAAUGAGUAAAUGAAUGAAUAAUAUCUAAAGGCCUCCAACUAAAUAAUAAUCAACUUCCUAACCGUACUGAAAGCCUUUAAUUGACUUUGGGGCUGUUUGGCCUGGAGGAGGCUCUGAGUUAGUGGUGAUCAGUUGGUGUCAUGGUAGAGAAGAAAGCCUGUGAAGGUGGAGUCAUUGUCAUUAUCAGCAUAGAGUCCAUUACGCUCUCCUUCCCCAUACACCUGGAGCCAGACUUGGUCGCCCACCUCCAGAUGCAGGAGCACAGAGCCGGAGGCCUGGUCCACAUUAUUUUCCUGGUACUGAUCAUAGGUGAAGAGCAUAGCCUUGUCCUUCUUGAAGAGGCUGACCUUCACAUCCUUCAUAUAGACUGUGAUGUGGUAGGCAAAGUAGUACAGCCCAGGAAUGUUGCAGUGGAAUUUACCAGUGGAGCCAUCAUAGUGGUUUUGCUGAUUGUAGAAGAUCUUGGUAAAGCGAAUGGGCAUGUUGGGGAUAGUAACGUAAGUCUCCAAUCCCACACUGAAUGCUGAGCGGUAUACAUAGGCACCUUCUCCAGGUUCUCCUUUCCUGCCUUGGAUUCCCGGAAAGCCUCGGGGACCUUCAGCCCCGGGUACUCCGGUUUCACCGAUGUCUCCCUUAGGACCAAUAAGACCUAAGGAAUGAGAAGACCUCAGUGACUACAAAGAACAGAACUCCUGCCUAGGAUGUCUCUCCUCCUCUAUUCUGCCUACCCAUCAUUCAAGGCCUAGCUGAAGCUCUGCCUCCUCCUUGAAGCCUUCAUUCUUCAUCAGGUCCACGGGGUGCCAUCUCUGCCAUCACGGCCUGGGGCCCCAUUAUGGCCCGGAUGCCCUGGGAUGCCCGCCAUCCAACCUGUGCAGGCCCCCUUGGGCAGGGGAAGCAGGACUCCGGGCCCUUGAGUCGUGGUUUCCUGGUCAUGACCGGGCAGAGCUAAUAGCAGUAGAACAGCUCCCAGCAACAGCAUCCUGAGCCCUGGAAUCCACAUGUGCACUGUCAGCCAUGGAGAGACAGACCCCACACACACACCCAGUUGGGACCUACAAAGGACUCCGUCCAUCUCAGCAGAGUCUACUUCUAGGAGCUGCUUUCUAAGUAUUCAACUUUUCCAGGAAGACUUUUCUGAAUAUUGCAGCCCACCUUGAUCUCUUUCUGCCCUGAAAUCUGUAAUACUUAGCAUUAUUCCCUGUGUGUAGUCUCCUUUCCUCACCAAGAUUAUGAAUUCAGUGAUUGCACAGAUGACACUCCUCUAAUUUUCCCAUGUCUGAGCACAGGACCAAGCACAGGGAAAGCUCCAAGAGUCGACUUGCCAAGAAUCCAUCCUUGGGUUUCCCAAGUACGAUGACACAGAUUGCUCCAUUCAAUGCUAACCAGCUUCUCUCCUCUGGCUCCUUUCUUCUUUUUCUUUCCCCCCUUCUCUCUCAUUUUCUGUGUCUAUUCCUCCUUCUUACUCUCUCAUUCUCUUUCUUCCUCUACCCCUCUCCUGGGGCACAUGUUUGACUAUUGGGUAUAUUACAUUUGCACACAUGCACACACACAAACACACACAGAGAAAAAGAGAGAGAGAGGGAGGGAGAGACUCACCUUGUGUUAAGCAGACAACGAGAGACACAUCAUCCCAUGAACAUAUCCCCUGGCCCUUUGUUUGCCUGAGCCAUCUUUAGCUGCCCCUCCUCCCCUGUCUAAUCUCUAUUCAGCUUUCAGGACCCAGUUUGGAUGUCAUCUGUUUCAAGAAGUCCUCCUUGUUCUCCAUCUCACUCCUUGGCUGGUUCUUUCCCCUCUGUGUUUCUCCAGUGCCCUGGUAAUAUGGUUUGGGUCUGUGUCCCCACCCAAAUAGCACGUCGACAUGUGUUGGAGAAGGGGCCUGGUAGGAGGUGACUGAAUCAUGGAGGCAGACUUAUCCCUUGCUGUUCUCAUGAUAGUAGGUGAAUUCUCACAAGAUCUGGUUGAAAGUGUGUAGCACUUCCCCUAUAUUCUCUCUCUCUCUCUUUCUCUCUCUCUCUCCUGCUGCUGUGUGAUGUGCUUGCUUCCCCUUCGCUCUUUCUUCCACCAUGAUUGUAAGUUUUCUGAGGCCUCCCCAGCCAUGCUUCCUGUACAGCCUGUGGAACUGUGAGUCAAUUAAACCUCUUUUCUUUAUAAA